rnacentral:rRNA from 1 species
AACGAACGCUGGCGGCAUACCUAACUCAUGCAAGUCGAACGAGACCUUCGGGUCUAGUGGCGCACGGGUGCGUAACGCGUGGGAACCUGCCCUUAGGUUCGGAAUAACUCCCCGAAAGGGGUGCUAAUACCGGAUAAUGUCUUCGGACCAAAGAUUUAUCGCCUUUGGAUGGGCCCGCGUUGGAUUAGCUAGUUGGUAGGGUAAAAGCCUACCAAGGCGACGAUCCAUAGCUGGUCUGAGAGGAUGAUCAGCCACACUGGGACUGAGACACGGCCCAGACUCCUACGGGAGGCAGCAGUGGGGAAUAUUGGACAAUGGGCGAAAGCCUGAUCCAGCAAUGCCGCGUGAGUGAUGAAGGCCUUAGGGUUGUAAAGCUCUUUUACCCGGGAUGAUAAUGACAGUACCGGGAGAAUAAGCGCCGGCUAACUCCGUG